UGUCCCUAUCUACUAUCUAGCGAAACCACAGCCAAGGGAACGGGCUUGGAAUAAUUAGCGGGGAAAGAAGACCCUUUUGAGCUUGACUCUAAUCUGGCAGUGUAAGGAGACAUAAGAGGUGUAGAAUAAGUGGGAGAUAUUAGACCUCGGUUUGGUAUCGUCAAUGAAAUACCACUACUCUUAUUGUUUUCUUACUUACUUGAUUAAGUGGAACGUGUAUCAUUUCCUAGCCAUUAUACGGAUAUAUUUAUUAUAUCUUAUGGUAUUGGGUUUUGAUGCAAGCUUCUUGAUCAAAGUAUCACGAGUUUUUUAUAUAAUCGCAAACAAAUUCUUUAAUAAAACGAUGCAUUUAUGUAU
rnacentral:rRNA from 1 species